rnacentral:rRNA from 1 species
AAGCGGUGGAUCAUGUUGUUUAAUUCGAUGAUACGCGAAGAACCUUACCAGGUCUUGACAUCCCCGCAAUGCUCUGGAGACAGAGCGGAGGUAGUCCGGGGAGGACGGGUGGUGCAUGGUUGUCGUCAGCUCGUGUCGUGAGAUGUUGGGUUAAGUCCCGCAACGAGCGCAACCCUUAUUGCUAGUUACCAUCAUUGAGUUGGGGACUCUAGCGAGACUGCCAGCGAUAAGCUGGAGGAAGGUGGGGAUGACGUCAAAUCAUCAUGCCCCUUAUGACCUGGGCUACAAACGUGAUACAAUGGCUGGAACAAAGGGAGGCGAAGGGGUGACCUGGAGCGAAACCCAAAAAUACAGUCUCAGUUCGGAUUGAAGUCUGCAACUCGACUUCAUGAAGUCGGAAUCGCUAGUAAUCGCGGAUCAGAACGCCGCGGUGAAUACGUUCUCGGGGUUU